CGGAAUCACUGGGCUUAAAGGGCGCGUAGGCGGCUUACCAAGUCAGGGGUGAAAUUUUGCGGCUUAACCGUAACAGUGCCUUUGAUACUGGUAGGCUCGAGGGAGAUAGGGGUCUGCGGAACUUCCGGUGGAGCGGUGAAAUGCGUUGAUAUCGGAAGGAACGGCGGUGGCGAAAGCGGCAGACUGGAUCUCUUCUGACGCUGAGGCGCGAAAGCUAGGGGAGCAAACGGG
rnacentral:rRNA from 1 species